rnacentral:lncRNA from 1 species
AAGGGGUAAAGUUGAAAGCCUCAUUGUUCUUAUGGAUUCGAGGGCAAACUAGUCAGAGAAACUGGCAUGGUAGGCAAAAAUUCUUUCGUGCGCGUUGAAGGGGGAAGAGCCUAACAUGAAAACAAAAAGGGCCUGCUUUUCCUUGGGACCCACUUAUAGUCAGCAAAAACAAAAAUCAAAGUCUCGUCACCUUCGUGGGAACAACUUCUUCUCUUCUCCUCUCUCUCCAACCUCUUUCUUUAAUACCAUCAUAUAUAAUUUUUUCCAGUGUGUCUGAUAUCUUUUAUAGUUAUAUAUCCCAUUUAUAUUAAGUGCCAUAGGAGUUCUCCCUUUUCUUGCCUGCCUUGCUCCUCUCCUCUCUCCCCCUC